ACCUCCGUGGCGCAAUCGGCUAGCACGUUCGGCUGUUAACCGAAAGGUUGGUUGGUUUCGAGCCCACCCUGGGGGA
rnacentral:tRNA from 1 species